AAACUCAAAUGAAUUGACGGGACCCGCACAAGCGGUGGAUGAUGUGGUUUAAUUCGAUGCAACGCGAAAACCUUACCCACCUUUGACAUGGCAGGAAUCCUAAAGAGAUUGGGAGUGCUCGAAAGAGAACCUGCACACAGGUGCUGCAUGGCUGUCGUCAGCUCGUGUCGUGAGAUGUUGGGUUAGGUCCCGCAACGAGCGCAACCCUUGCCAUUAGUUGCUACGAAAGGGCACUCUAAUGGGACUGCCGGUGACAAACCGGAGGAAGGUGGGGAUGACGUCAAGUCCUCAUGGCCCUUAUAGGUGGGGCUACACACGUCAUACAAUGGCCGGUACAGAGGGUAGCCAACCCGCGAGGGGGAGCCAAUCCCACAAAGCCGGUCGUAGUCCGGAUCGCAGUCUGCAACUCGACUGCGUGAAGUCGGAAUCGCUAGUAAUCGCGGAUCAGCAUGUCGCGGUGAAUACGUUCCCGGGUCUG
rnacentral:rRNA from 1 species